AGUGGGAUGGCUGAGUAAUUAGGCGGUAGGCUGUAAAUCUAUUUAGGAGUAUUUAUGUUGCUCUUCCACUA
rnacentral:tRNA from 1 species